rnacentral:rRNA from 1 species
CAGUAGCCACGGGAAUACGUAGGGUGCAAGCGUUAAUCGGAAUUACUGGGCGUAAAGCGUGCGCAGGCGGUUUGUUAAGACAGAUGUGAAAUCCCCGGGCUCAACCUGGGAACUGCAUUUGUGACUGGCAAGCUAGAGUGUGGCAGAGGGGGGUGGAAUUCCGCGUGUAGCAGUGAAAUGCGUAGAUAUGCGGAGGAACACCGAUGGCGAAGGCAGCCCCCUGGGCCAACACUGACGCUCAUGCACGAAAGCGUGGGGAGCAAGCAGGAUUAGAUACCCGCGUAGUCCCUGUCUCUUAUAA